AUGAACGCUGGCGGCGUGCCUAAUACAUGCAAGUCGAGCGAACAGACGAGGAGCUUGCUCCUCUGACGUUAGAGGCGGACGGGUGAGUAACACGUGGAUAACCUACCUAUAAGACUGGGAUAACUUCGGGAAACCGGAGCUAAUACCGGAUAAUAUAUUGAACCGCAUGGUUCAAUAGUGAAAGACGGUUUUGCUGUCACUUAUAGAUGGAUCCGCGCCGCAUUAGCUAGUUGGUAAGGUAACGGCUUACCAAGGCAACGAUGCGUAGCCGACCUGAGAGGGUGAUCGGCCACACUGGAACUGAGACACGGUCCAGACUCCUACGGGAGGCAGCAGUAGGGAAUCUUCCGCAAAGGGCGAAAGCCUGACGGAGCAACGCCGCGUGAGUGAUGAAGGUCUUCGGAUCGUAAAACUCUGUUAUUAGGGAAGAACAAAUGUGUAAGUAACUAUGCACGUCUUGACGGUACCUAAUCAGAAAGCCACGGCUAACUACGUG
rnacentral:rRNA from 1 species